rnacentral:rRNA from 1 species
UACGGAAGGGGCAAGCGUUGUUCGGAAUCAUUGGGCGUAAAGGGCUCGUAGGUGGCCAACUAAGUCAGACGUGAAAUCCCUCGGCUUAACCGGGGAACUGCGUCUGAUACUGGAUGGCUUGAGUUUGGGAGAGGGAUGCGGAAUUCCUGGUGUAGCGGUGAAAUGCGCAGAUAUCAGGAGGAACACCGGUGGCGAAGGCGGGUCUCUGGGCCGAUACUGACGCUGAGGAGCGAAAGCGUGGGGAGCGAACAGG